rnacentral:rRNA from 1 species
UACGUAGGGGCCUAGCGUUGUCCGGAUUUAUUGGGCGUAAAGAGCUCGUAGGCGGCACGGUUAGUCAGGUGUGAAAUCUCCACGCUCAACGUGGAGGGGUCACCUGAUACUGCCGAGCUUGAGUCCGGUAGGGGAGUGCGGAAUUCCCGGUGUAGCGGUGAAAUGCGCAGAUAUCAGGAAGAACAUCGGUGGCGAAGGCGCUCUGCUGGACCAUAACUGACACUCAGGGACGAAAGCUAGGGGAGCGAAUGGG